GGUGCUCUGUGCAGUCUAGAGAUAAGAAGGGUUAAUAUCAGAACAACAAUCGAAAGGAUUAAAACUUAGGUUUACCUGAACGGCCUCCAAUAACAAUGACGCGGCGGCUGCCCCAGCUUGCGCGAUGGCUUGGAUAUCGGCAUCUUGGAUGACCUGAGAGGGUGGUGCGGCCGGAGUCUCUGCCGAUACGAGCACAGAAGGAUCCGCCGAUUCUACGCGAGCUCGGACUCGGCGACUGGUCUUCUUAGUGAUCCUCUUCUGGACUUGUUUUGAUCGGCCAGCGAUCACGUCUACGGACGGGGCAUCAUAGCCGAUGAGAGGAUAAAUGGUGUAUGGAUGAUUCUCUAUUAGCCGUCCACUCCGGCUGUGUGUUGGAGGAGUUCGAUUCUCGGCCUGAAAAAAUAAGUAGAGCCAUUAGUAUUCAAGUCACGUUAAGAGGAAUAAAAAUCGGCUAAGGAAAAUACCUCGGCGUUCGAGUCGAUGUUGGCUGGAUCCAAGAGGUUGCAGUAUGCCGAUGCUGAAUUACAGAAGAGAAAUUGCUUCCAAUCGGCCCACCAGAGUUUGAACGGCUGGACAGCAAAGGGAGCUACUAGCCAGUUGUUCAGGUCAAUGGUACUGGAGUCCGGAAUCCGGUCUCGUAACCGAUUGUAAUCCAGACCAGAUGUGAGCUCAUCUCUAAACUUGAUUCGGCCAGCAAAAUACACUUGAAUCGGCAGCUGACCCAUGCCGAACUGACGUGCUGCAGCGGAAGGGUUGUAGAACUCAUACGUAGGGGCGUCCUUCCCCGAGAAGAAGUUGGCUGGCAAGAUUCCUGGCUUGAUUAACUCAUCAUAGAGCUCUUCAUCAAAUCGGCCAGUGGUCGAAUCAAAGCAGGUUGGGAGUUCAAAGACCGGGUCAUCCCGCUGAUAAGGAAACCAAAUGGUUGCAUCUUCAUUAAAGCCAUUAUAGAAGCAUCGAAAGUACUCGGCUACCUUUGU
rnacentral:lncRNA from 1 species